GGUCCCUGAGGCAAAAUCCACUGCAGAUUGGAUUCAUGAGAAGCUUAUUGGCUGAUCCUACUAAUCCCACCAUUAAUCGGAUAAUCUUGCAUGCUCAUAGGUGAUUGGUUAUGUGUGAUCCAAGAACCGAAUAUAAGACUGGAGAGAAGGCAGCCUCCUCUGGAAGCUGAGCAGUUGGGACGACCGGGAACCUGCUAAGGUGAACCCUUUAAGGUGACGCUGAUCAGCGAGCUGAAUGAGCGAGAGGUUCUGCUUGGGGUGCCGGAGAAGGUGUCCUGGCACUCCGAGUACAAGGACAGCGCCUGGAUCUUCCUGGGAGGGCGUCCUUAAGAAUUGACUGAAGGCGACAUCAUCUGUGUUUUGUCACGAUGACGACCUCGGGCUCGGCGCGGAAGCGGCUGCUCAAAGAGGCAGACAUGAGCACAGUGGAAUUCGAGACCAGCGAGGAGGUGGACGUGACCCCCACGUUCGACACUAUGGGCCUGCGGGAGGACCUGCUGCGCGGCAUCUACGCCUACGGGUUUGAAAACCCUUCAGCGAUCCAACAGCGAGCUACCAAGCAGAUAAUUAAAGGGAGAGACGUCAUCGCACAGUCUCAGUCUGGCACAGGUAAAACAGCCACCUUCACUAUUUCAGUCCUUCAGUGCUUGGAUACUCAGGUUCGUGAAGCCCAGGCUCUGAUCUUGGCCCCCACGCGAGAGCUGGCCGUGCAGAUCCAGAAGGGCCUGCUUGCUCUCGGCGACUACAUGAACGUCCAGUGCCACGCCUGCAUGGGGGGCACCAAUGUGGCCGAGGACAUCAGGAGGCUGGAUUACGGACAGCACGUCGUCGCAGGCACACCAGGGCGCGUCUUUGAUAUGAUUCGUAGAGGAAGUUUAAGGACACGAGCUAUCAAGAUGUUGGUUUUGGAUGAGGCUGACGAAAUGUUGAAUAAAGGUUUCAAAGACCAGAUUUAUGACGUGUACAGGUACCUGCCUCCGGCCACACAGGUGGUCCUUAUCAGUGCCACGCUGCCCCAGGAAAUCCUGGAAAUGACCACCAAGUUCAUGACGGACCCCAUCCGAAUCCGGCUAAAACGUGAUGAGUUGACUCUGGAAGGCGUCAGACAGUUUUUUGUGGCAGUGGAAAGAGAAGAGUGGAAGUUUGACACCCUGUGUGAUCUCUACGACACACUGACCAUCACGCAGGCGGUCAUCUUCUGUAACACCAGGAGGAAGGUUGACUGGCUGGCAGAGAAGAUGAGAGAAGCCAACUUCACCGUGUGCUCGAUGCACGGAGACAUGCCGCAGAAGGAGCGCGAGCGCAUCGCGAAGGAGUUCCGGGCCGGCGCCAGCCGAGUGCUCAUCUCCACAGACGUCUGGGCCAGGGGCUUGGAUGUCCCGCAGGUGUCCCUCAUCAUUAACUACGACCUGCCCAAUAGCAGAGAGUUGUACAUACACAGAAUUGGGAGGUCAGGUCGAUAUGGUCGAAAGGGUGUGGCCAUCAAUUUUGUAAAGAACGACGACAUCCGCAUCCUCCGAGAUCUUGAACAGUACUACUCCACUCAGAUUGAUGAAAUGCCUGUGAACGUUGCCGAUCUGCUCUGAAGAAACAGUCCCACUGCGCUGUAGAUGGGUUGGAGGUGGUUCACACUUUGUAGUCCUGGGUUGAGGGAAAGAUGGUAAUAAUGAGGCUUCUUAAUCAGCGAGCAUGUACCUCGGGCAUAGCAGCAGCCGGGGACUUCAUUUAUCAUCAUAGGACUUGAUUGCUUUGAAACCCAGAAGACCAGGGAACGUGGCAGGAAAGAAGGGUUCUUUGCCGCCGUGCUUGCUGUAAUACCAAGAACACUGCCUGCCUGCCCGGGGUGAGUUUCAGGAUGUCGGGAUCCCUUUUGUUGACUCACAAUUUGUCGCACUAAUUUAUCAUGUCAGGACCUCAUUCUUACUUCUCUCCUCGCCUGGGCUCCAAGUGCCCCGCUGAGCUGAUGGAAGUGACUCUGCACCCCCUCAACACGCUGGCCACAGGAGGCCACACGUCACAGCUUUGACCCAGGGCUGGCAGGAGUUGCGAGCUCAUCACAUUCUCAUCAAUGUGGAGGACACUGACAUGCCAGAGUGGCGCUGAUCCUCUGGUCGGCGUUUGAUGUGGGGCACUGCUCUCUGUCCCCUCUGUGGUCAGUCAUUUGUCAUCCCUCUGUGGAGCCUGUGCUUUGGGAACUUCUAAGUGCUGCCCCUCCCGGGAAAAGGGCUCUCUGACAAGAGCCUGGGCGUUGGCUGUGUUAUGCUGUGACUGAUAAAGGAGACAUAGAUUUUUAAGCUGUAGGAGAAGGAUUUGGUGCGGUGGGAUUCUGAGGGCUGGGUUUGGCCUUGUCUUCUGAAAGCUGAAAAGGUUCGCUGGUUUGCCGCAAGGCCGGUGUGGACGGAAGGCCACGUUCCCACCUUGCGGUGGGUGUGGGCUGCGAGAAGCCCGCAGUCUAGGCUGAGGUGUUCUCCAGGAAGCAGAUCUGCAUCUGCUCAACCUCUGCGUCCUGGGGAAAGAUGGCUUCAUAAUGGAUGUACUCAACAAACCAGAAAAGAAGUUUUUAAGGAAGAUGCUGGGCAGGCUGAUAUCCUUUGAUCUUGGAAGGAAGAAAGAUGCCUGUAAACACCUGGAAGUUACCACUGGAUAAACACGCUGUUCCCUGGGUUAGAAGCCUAAGGGCCAUAUUUAAGUAUAGUCAUCUCAUAAUUGUCCAUUCUCAUGGUGAAUGUGAAAACUGGAGAAACUUGGGGGCUUGCCAGCAGGCUGUGUGUCCCCCUAGCA